rnacentral:rRNA from 1 species
UUCCGGUUGAUCCUGCCGGACCUGACUGCUAUCGGAUUGAUACUAAGCCAUGUUAGUCUUUGUAGUAAUACAAGGCAUACGGCUCAGUAACACGUAGUCAACCUAACUUAUGGACGGGGAUAACUUCGGGAAACUGAUGAUAAUACCCGAUAGGUCAUUAUGCCUGGAAUGGUUUAUGGCUUAAAUGAAUUUCGCCAUAGGAUGGGACUGCGGCCUAUCAGCUUGUUGGUGAGGUAAUGGCCCACCAAGGCUAUAACAGGUACGGGCUCUGAGAGGAGUAGCCCGGAGAUGGGUACUGAGACAAGGACCCAGGUCCUAUGGGACGCAGCAGGCGAGAAAACUUUGCAAUGUGCGAAAGCACGACAAGGUUAAUCCGAGUGAUUUCUGCUAAAGGAAUCUUUUGCCAGUCAUAAAACCACUAGUGAAUAAGGGGUGGGCAAGUUCUGGUGUCAGCCGCCGCGGUAAAACCAGCACCUCAAGUGGUCAGGAGGAUUAUUGGGCCUAAAGCAUCCGUAGCCGGCUCUGUAAGUUUUCGGUUAAAUCCAUGUGCUCAACGCAUGGCUGCCGAAAAUACUGCAUAGCUAGGGAGUGGGAGAGGUAGACGGUACUUGGUAGGAAGGGGUAAAAUCCUUUGAUCUAUCGAUGACCACCUGUGGCGAAGGCGGUCUACCAGAACACGUUCGACGGUGAGGGAUGAAAGCUGGGGGAGCAAACCGGAUUAGAUACCCGGGUAGUCCCAGCUGUAAACGAUGCAGACUCGAUGAUGUAUUGGCACCUAGCUAGUGCAGUGUCGCAGGAAGCCGUUAAGUCUGCCGCCUGGGAAGUACGUACGCAAGUAUGAAACUUAAAGGAAUUGGCGGGGGAGCACCACAAGGGGUGAAGCCUGCGGUUCAAUUGGAGUCAACGCUGGA